rnacentral:lncRNA from 1 species
CCCGGGAGCUUCACCUAAUGUACCCUGAUCACAUUCGCUUGUCAAUCUUCUCAGGUCCACCUCCCCCAAGGAAAAGAAGAAUGGAAAAAAAAAAAUACCAAGUUUAAUUUGCAUUGCUCAUAUACUCAAGGGAAACGGUCAAACUCCCAGUGGCCAGGCUCUUAAAACAAAAAACAAAACAAAAAAAAACCUGCAUCCUCUGUCCUCCUUCUUCCUGCCACCUCUGACAGAAGCCAUCAACUGUACAGAGCUACACUUCAGCUCUUAAAAAGCUCGCGGUUUUUUUAGAGUUCUCUUCAAUGGCUUCUUGUCUACACUGUUUCUUUGUGGGGAGUGAUGGGUGAAGGUGGGAGAGAGAAGUUGUCACAGAGCCUUCUAUGAAAUUUCAGAUAGAGUUGAAUUUUAUUUUUAUUUGUGUUUGCCUGUGUACCACAUGUGUGCCUGACACAGAGGUCAGAAGAGGGCAUUGGGUGUUGAAUCCAGUGGAACUAGAGUUAUAGGCAGUUAUGAGUGUCCAUAUGUGUACUUGAAAUUGAAUCUGAAUUCUCUGGAAGAGCAGCCUGUUCCUAACCACUGAGCCAUCUCUCCAGCUCCAGGUAGUUGAAUUCUAUUAAUGUGAAAACUCUUAUGUUUUCCCUGUACUUUUUACCUGCUUUGAAAAUCUAAUAAGCUUUUUUUUUUCUUUAAGACAUGAGUGUCUCCUCUGUCCACAUCCCUAGCUAUCCUGGUAUAUGCUAUGCAGACCAGGCUGGCCUCCACACACACUUACAUGGGCUAGUACACUCAUCCAUGUGUAUACACACAUACAUAUGCAGUGAAAUAGGAAUACAGGUAGACAGCCACACAUGAAACUAUGCUUUCUGUAAAGUCUUAAAAAUGAAAUCAAGUUUUAAGAAUUUUGUAUCAGCAUAAGUUUAAAGUUUGGCAGUAUCCCUGUGGUCAGAAUGUAGUGAAGGGUAGGUACAACCUAUUGGAGAUGUCUAUUAGUGUUAAAAUAUAAAUUUAUUAAUAGGACUAAAUAUAUCAGUAAGGUGGUUAUAUAUUACAUAUGUUAAUAAUAUAAAUAUCUUGAUAAUAAAUUAAAAUAUAAGACUGUUAUUAAAAUAUAAAAUAUAUAAAUUUGGCAGUAUCUAGUAAUACUAAAGUAUAAAAGUCCAGGUAAAGCUCACUAAUAGAACACCCACUUACUUGUGCAGGGCAGUUGGCUUGAUCACCAAUACUGCAAUACAAUGAACAAGCAACAUGUACAACUUUCACUUUAGUAACUGAGGGCUUUCCCGCCCAUAUAUAAGUUCUUUGAAAUAACUCUGAGACUUAAAUUAUACUUAUGAAUAAAUGCUUAGGCCAUAAGUUUGGGCCUGUUCCCCAACUAGCUCAUAACUUAAUUAUCCUGUUUAUCUAACUAUUUUAAGUCCCUCCAUGUAGCUGGUUACCUGGUCAUGUUUCAUGCAACAACCUUCCUCUGUGCCUGGAUAAAUCUCCACAACCCCAGAAUUCCUCUUUCUCUGCUGGAUGUCUCACAUUCUAAUCCUGCCUCAGUUCAUUGGCCAAUCACCUUUUACUGACAAGCGAAUGCUUUUACACAGUGCACAAGGGAUUUUGUGUUUUCAUCUCAGACAUUCCAAUGUGUUCAAAGAGUCAUUAGACAGGUAGUAGUAGUGCUGUUUUAAAAGAAGUUUAAAAGUCCCAGUAGCAGUGCUCUGAGUGUAAGCGCACUUUUGCUAAACUGUUGGGUGUGUGCUUUAAGAAGAAUGAGGUCAGUUUCUGCAAACGUGACAAGGUUUGAUAGAAACAUUGAGGGAUUAUGUUACUGUUUUCUUCUCCCCAUAAAAAAGAUUUUCAUUAGUAUGAUUUGAAAAACUAUAAAUUGAUGAGGUAGUACUAUCUUGGUGUAAAGAGUAUGUAAUGGAUUCAUUGUGAGGUAAUGAAGUCUUUUUGUUUCUUUACAAGACUUGUUUGGCAAGAAUACUCCAUAAUCAGGCAGGUGUGGUGGUACAAAUCUGUAAUCCUAGAGAUAGAAUAAAAACAAACAAACAAAAAAGUCAAGAUCUAUCCAUUUAAAAAACAAUCAAAGCUAUACAUGUCUCAAUUAUGCAAUGAAAAUAAGGUAUAUAGGUUGUAUCUAUCAAUUUCUUGGUUUUCACUCUCCAUCUCCUGUUACCUUGGGUCCAAAAUAGUAAAUGGAAAAUGGAUAAGCAGACAAUGAAUGUUUAAAUGCCCACCAUUCUGUAGCACAAGUCCCACUGGGAGUUGUGGACUACUUUAUCCAGCAUAACCACACUGUCAACUCAACUUUCACUUAAUUGUGGCCUUACUGUGCAAGACCAGUACUGGGGAGGCACCAGCUUAUGAGCCAUGGAAAGGCAGGUCAACCCUGGUGCCAUGUGCAGUACUGCAGAACACAGGAAACCAUCAGAGACCUUGAGCUGCACCACUCGAGGAGGAAGCUGUUGUUGCAUGCUUUUAUAAGUCGUCACCAAGGGGGUUGGGGGGAGCAAAGACAAGGACUCUUCCUUGUUUUGCAACUUUCAAUUUUUAAAAAUUAAUUAAAUAAAUGAAAAGUUUAAAACUAAUUAUUAUUUUAGCCACUGAACUCUCUGGAAUUAUGUAAAUACUCAAGGAAAGAAAUGAGAACAAAAAACUUUAUUUUCUUUGACAGGUUCUAAAUGAACUAGAAUGUCAUGGAGUUGCUCUAUCAGAACAGAGCCGAGCAGAGCUGGAACAGAAAAUAGAUGAAGCAAGAGAAAGUAUCCGUAAAGCAGAGGUAAGACAGUAGGACAGCUCUCAGUUGUCGUGUGUCACUCAGUUCCAGGCACAGUGUGAAAUGCACCCUUGAAAUUUGAGUCUACAUGGGUAUUAAAUUGAAGACAAUGAACAUCUUUGUGUCCACAGUUGUAUUUUUGUGUACCUGUAGCACGUAACAACGAAAACUCUGAACCUACUGUGAAGUUCCCACAGUCAUGAAACAUUAAAUAGC